AGCAGCCGCGGUAAUUCCAGCUCCAAUAGCGUAUAUUAAAGUUGUUGCAGUUAAAAAGCUCGUAGUUGAAUUUCGGGGUUAGUAGAUUGGUCAUGCCUCUGGUAUGUACUGGUCUCACUGAUUCCUCCUUCCUGAUGAACCUUAAUGCCAUUAAUUUGGUGUUUUGGGGAAUUUGGACUGUUACUUUGAAAGAAUUAGAGUGUUUAAAGCAAGCUAACGCUUGAAUACAUUAGCAUGGAAUAAUGAAAUAGGACGUUCGAUCCUAUUUUGUUGGUUUCUAGGAUUGACGUAAUGAUUAAUAGGGAUAGUUGGGGGCAUUAGUAUUCAACUGUCAGAGGUGAAAUUCUUGGAUUUAUUGAAGACUAACUACUGCGAAAGCAUUUGCCAAGGAUGUUUUCAUUAAUCAAGAACGAAAGUUAGGGGAUCGAAGACGAUCAGAUACCGUCGUAGUCUUAACCAUAAACUAUGCCGACUAGGGAUCGGAUGAUGUUAAUUUUUUAAUGACUCA
rnacentral:rRNA from 1 species